CACAAUACCAUACCUGCCCACUUUGGCAUUCUCCGCUUCACCCUGGAAUAGGACAGAUGGAAUUGCAAACAUCGAGGAUACAAAGAGAAGUUGGCAUCCAAAUCUUCUUGGCUUUUACUUGAACAGAGCUACUAUUCUGGUACGAACUUGGAUCCCACAUUAUACGAUCGUCUUUCCAUGAAAAAAAAACAUUCAUUAUGACCCGGACAUCGUUUUUUGUUUUUCAUUGACUUCGAAAAUUCCCAAGAGUGCAAUAUCCACUUCUACAGUGAUACUGGUUUUGGUGGAUUCGAAAGGAGCUACAUCGGGAUCCCUCACAUUAUUGAUAUCGCGGAAGAUCUGGGACCUGUUUGAGGCACUACAAAGAUUACACGAGUAGACAGCUAGGAGAACAGCUUGAAAUAUGGACGCUAUUCGUCUAUCCAUGUUUGUUCAAAGUGCGAUUUACGAAUGAAAUCUUCGAAAAUGU